CAAGAAAUAUUUUGUUCGAGACAUAUGAAAUGAGCUAUAAUAUUAUAAUGCCAUGUCUUACAAAGAAAUAUUGUCAUAAUAUUUUUGUGCCGUAUAUCCAUGCUAUGAGUUAUUUACGACUUUUUGGCAUUUUUCCAAACAAAAGGGGAAGAAGAAAUUGGACUCCAAUUUUAUAAAUUUUAAAUUUCUUCAUUAAUUAUAUUCUUUUGAG
rnacentral:lncRNA from 1 species